GGGAAUUGUUCCAUGUGUAACUGUAGAUUUGGUGUGUCUGUGGGGGGAGGUGAGUUUAGGAGCCUCCUAUGUCGCCAUCUUGAACCUGAAUCCUUGUGUUUUUGACUGUAUA